GGUGGCCAUCUGGUUUGUAUGCUAGUUCACACCCAUCAGGUUGUGCUCCUGCAAUGGGUGAGGAUCUCCCUUCCAUCCCUCACCCACUUGGGAAAUUACAGGUUAGGGAAGCAUCAGGAUGGAGUGGCUGAUCCUUGGGGCUGGUCCAUCCAUCAUGUUGGGUGAGCUGUCAGCAGGUACCAGAGCAGAGGAUCAUAUUUUUAAGGAGAAACGGCCCACCUGUGGGAAGCCAUACAGCACUGGCGUUGCAGGAAGCCUUGCAGAGAUCAGAAACGCUUUGAGCCUCUUUUGAGACAAGGAAGAUGUAAAAAGGCAGAUGUUGCUCUUCUUCCAAGCAAGAAGUAAUACUCUUUCUGUUCAGAAUAGAAAUGGCUUGAUGCCAUGAGGAAAAAUAAAAGGAAGCUCUACCUGGUGCUGUGAUGAUUU
rnacentral:lncRNA from 1 species